rnacentral:pre_miRNA from 13 species
UUUCGCGUUGCUUCUUCAAUUCCGUAGUGCAUUGCAGAUGAUUAUUCGAUUAACGAGAAAGAACCUGCAAGCACCGCGGGAGUGAGGUAGCCUCGCGUCUGAUCGA